rnacentral:rRNA from 1 species
AGGACGAACGCUGGCGGCGUGCUUAACACAUGCAAGUCGAACGGAAAGGCCCUUCGGGGUACUCGAGUGGCGAACGGGUGAGUAACACGUGGGUGAUCUGCCCCGCACUUUGGGAUAAGCCUGGGAAACUGGGUCUAAAUACCGAAUAGGACCAUGGGAUGCAUGUCCUGUGGUGGAAAGCUUUUGCGGUGUGGGAUGGGCCCGCGGCCUAUCAGCUUGUUGGUGGGGUUAAGGCCUACCAAGGCGACGACGGGUAGCCGGCCUGAGAGGGUGUCCGGCCACACUGGGACUGAGAUACGGCCCAGACUCCUACGGGAGGCAGCAGUGGGGAAUAUUGCACAAUGGGCGCAAGCCUGAUGCAGCGACGCCGCGUGGGGGAUGACGGCCUUCGGUUGUAACCUCUUCAGUAGGACGAAGCGCAAGUGACGGUACCUACAGAAGAAGCACCGGCCAACUACGUGCCAGCAGCCGC